AUUGAACGCUGGCGGCAGGCUUAACACAUGCAAGUCGAGCGGGGUGAUGGUGCUUGCACUAUCACUUAGCGGCGGACGGGUGAGUAAUGCUUAGGAAUCUGCCUAUUAGUGGGGGACAACAUCUCGAAAGGGAUGCUAAUACCGCAUACGUCCUACGGGAGAAAGCAGGGGAUCACUUGUGACCUUGCGCUAAUAGAUGAGCCUAAGCCGGAUUAGCUAGUUGGUGGGGUAAAGGCCGACCAAGGCGACGAUCUGUAGCGGGUCUGAGAGGAUGAUCCGCCACACUGGGACUGAGACACGGCCCAGACUCCUACGGGAGGCAGCAGUGGGGAAUAUUGGACAAUGGGGGGAACCCUGAUCCAGCCAUGCCGCGUGUGUGAAGAAGGCCUUAUGGUUGUAAAGCACUUUAAGCGAGGAGGAGGCUCUUUUGGUUAAUACCCAAGAUGAGUGGACGUUACUCGCAGAAUAAGCAUCGGCUAACUCUGUGCCAGCCGCCGCCGUAA
rnacentral:rRNA from 1 species